UAGUACCCGGAGGAAGAGAAAGAAAAUUCGAUUCCCUUAGUAGCGGCGAGCGAAACGGGAAGAGCCCAAACCAACAAGCUUGCUUGUUGGGGUUGUAGGACACUCUAUACGGAGUUACAAAGGACGACAUUAGACGAAUCAUCUGGAAAGAUGAAUCAAAGAAGGUAAUAAUCCUGUAGUCGAAAAUGUUGUCUCUCUUGAGUGGAUCCUGAGUACGACGGAGCACGUGAAAUUCCGUCGGAAUCUGGGAGGACCAUCUCCUAAGGCUAAAUACUCUCUAGUGACCGAUAGUGAACCAGUACCGUGAGGGAAAGGUGAAAAGCACCCCGGAAGGGGAGUGAAAUAGAACCUGAAACCGUGUGCUUACAAGUAGUCAGAGCCCGUUAAUGGGUGAUGGCGUGCCUUUUGUAGAAUGAACCGGCGAGUUACGAUUUGAUGCAAGGUUAAGCAGUAAAUGUGGAGCCGUAGCGAAAGCGAGUCUGAAUAGGGCGUUUAGUAUUUGGUCGUAGACCCGAAACCAGGUGAUCUACCCUUGGUCAGGUUGAAGUUCAGGUAACACUGAAUGGAGGACCGAACCGACUUACGUUGAAAAGUGAGCGGAUGAACUGAGGGUAGCGGAGAAAUUCCAAUCGAACCUGGAGAUAGCUGGUUCUCUCCGAAAUAGCUUUAGGGCUAGCCUCAAGUGAUGAUUAUUGGAGGUAGAGCACUGUUUGGACGAGGGGCCCCUCUCGGGUUACCGAAUUCAGACAAACUCCGAAUGCCAAUUAAUUUAACUUGGGAGUCAGAACAUGGGUGAUAAGGUCCGUGUUCGAAAGGGAAACAGCCCAGACCACCAGCUAAGGUCCCAAAAUAUAUGUUAAGUGGAAAAGGAUGUGGCGUUGCCCAGACAACUAGGAUGUUGGCUUAGAAGCAGCCAUCAUUUAAAGAGUGCGUAAUAGCUCACUAGUCGAGUGACACUGCGCCGAAAAUGUACCGGGGCUAAACAUAUUACCGAAGCUGUGGAUUGUCCUUUGGACAAUGGUAGGAGAGCGUUCUAAGGGCGUUGAAGCAUGAUCGUAAGGACAUGUGGAGCGCUUAGAAGUGAGAAUGCCGGUGUGAGUAGCGAAAGACGGGUGAGAAUCCCGUCCACCGAUUGACUAAGGUUUCCAGAGGAAGGCUCGUCCGCUCUGGGUUAGUCGGGUCCUAAGCUGAGGCCGACAGGCGUAGGCGAUGGAUAACAGGUUGAUAUUCCUGUACCACCUAUAAUCGUUUUAAUCGAUGGGGGGACGCAGUAGGAUAGGCGAAGCGUGCGAUUGGAUUGCACGUCUAAGCAGUAAGGCUGAGUAUUAGGCAAAUCCGGUACUCGUUAAGGCUGA
rnacentral:rRNA from 1 species